UACGUAGGGGGCGAGCGUUGUCCGGAUUUAUUGGGCGUAAAGAGCGUGUAGGCGGCCAGGUAGGUCUGCUGUGAAAACUCGAGGCUCAACCUCGAGACGUCGGCGGAAACCAUCUGGCUAGAGUCCGGAAGAGGAGAGUGGAAUUCCUGGUGUAGCGGUGAAAUGCGCAGAUAUCAGGAAGAACACCCGUGGCGAAGGCGGCGACCUGGGUAGAUACUGACGCUGAGGUGCGAAAGCGUGGGGAGCAAACAGG
rnacentral:rRNA from 1 species